UACGUAGGCAGCGAGCGUUGUUCGGAGUUACUGGGCGUAAAGAGUGCGUAGGCGGUUUUCUAAGUUUGGUGUGAAAUCUCCCGGCUUAACUGGGAGGGUGCGCCGAAAACUGGAAGGCUUGAGUAUGGGAGAGGUAAGCGGAAUUCCUGGUGUAGCGGUGGAAUGCGCAGAUAUCAGGAGGAACACCGGUGGCGAAGGCGGGUCUCUGGGCCAUUACUGACGCUGAGGAGCGAAAGCGUGGGGAGCGAACAGG
rnacentral:rRNA from 1 species